rnacentral:lncRNA from 1 species
CGGGCUUCCUAAGUGGAAGAAAUAUCAGAAGGGAUUUGCAGUGCUGAAAAGUAGAAGCUGUUCUACCUAAGUGUAUGCAUGCGUGCCUGUGUGUGUUUAUGCAUGUGUGUGUCUGUGUAUAUAGACAUAAAUAAUUAGACUUGUAGUUGGCAUAACGCAUAAUGCCUGCUCAUGCUGUUGACAGUUACUUAAUAAUGCACGCUCUCCCAUUCUCUCCAGCUGAAUUCUUAAGGCAUUACCAUGGGAAUUUUCCCUUUCUGGGGAUUGUAACAGAGCUCCAGGACUAGUUGUUUUUGUGAUGUGCUUCUUGACUGGCUGGAGCGGCCCUUAUUCAGGAACUCCAUCCAAGCAUCUCCUGCAGAGAAUGAAACCAUCAGCUGUCCUCGAAGCGGUGCUCCAUACUGCGGUGACACACAACGGUGAGUCGUGCGGUGGUUGGAUCUUGGAUUUUAACAUGCUCAAAGCAGAGCCAGGAGCAUCCAUCUCACCGUAUCGCCGCAUGAAGUGGGAUACAUCAAACGCGUCCUUCGGAGAGGAGCAGUGCUGACCUUAUGACACCCAGAGGAGACUAUCUGCUGUCCUACCAGCGAUGAGGAAUUGGCACAGCUCUGCUGGGCUCGAGGAGAGAGAAAUACUGAGCUUUCAAGAGCUGCUGCACUGCAUCCCACUACAACAUGAGGAGCCCUUAGGUGCAGGAAGAUUCUCAGUGAGAACAAUUGUUUUUGAGUGGAGAAGCUAUUGUGUGGUGCUGGGAAGAACUUUGGCAUUAAAAGCAAACCCAAAUUCCUUCCAGAGUAACCUGGAGAAGCUCAGAAACCCUCUGCUACUCACCUCCCAGCCUCAGGCUGCAAGGCAAGUGGUGAAUUUGCUGAUAAUUCAUAUUCGAUUAGCUUUAAUAUGUUCUAAUUCACUGGUAGGAGCGAGAGAGGCCUGGUGGGCUGCAGACAGAUAUCGCACUGAUUAGUUUUUCCUUUUGAUAAGCUGCCAGGUUUGGAGAGGUUCCCUUUCCAUUCUCCCUCUUCCAGCUGUGCACUGCAUUCCUUCUCCUCUGUCUCCAAACCCAAGCAAGGAGAUGCAAAGUGCUGUUAACACGGCCAUCACGUUGCUGCCCUGUGCAGUUGGAGCGAUGGUGGCUCUGAGGUGGCCCAUGGUGCUGGCAGGUAUUUUGGUGGCAGUCCGUGGAUUCAGGAGCGUGCAGGUGGUGCCCUUUUGCUGGAAGGCAAUAGCCCAAACCUCUUACAAAAUGAUGUACGCACCCUCAGUGCACCACGAAGUGUCAUUGUUUCAUGUACUCAGCACAGAGCGUUGUCCUGCUUGUUGUUUGCAAAACGCAUCACGUCUUAUUUUCCAAAACUGUGUUAUAUAUGGUGGUUUUCAUUAUUAUUAAAACGUGCAAACGUGUUAUUCAAAUAAAACUAAGUAAAAUGUAGUUUGUAAGUCCUCC